ACUGGAUUGAAUUGUUUCAAAUCAUUUUAAUUUUUAUCUUAUUUUCCUCCACCUGGUAAACUUUAACAAUAAAUUUAAGUUGUUAGACAAAUAUUGACUAUCAUUCCAUCAUUGUGACAAUGUAUGUCUUUGAUAUCUGGCAUCAUUCCAAAGGUAAUUACGAGAGAGAGAGAGACAACCAUCUGCUUGACCUGUCACCUCAUUUCGUAUAUGACUUCAACGCCCGAUUCUUAAACCAGAAUUAAUCAUCGGAGUUCAGAUAGUAACCAAUUAACGUUAGUGUAUUUAAAAUAAAACGAAGAAUAAUUGGUAAACUUUUGACUCUAAUUUUUUUUUUAAAAAUCACGUAUACAGCAGGUCUCUAGUCAUUUACCUGUAGAUGAAAACGAUCUGCUAUCAUCCGAUUACCUGCAUUAUCAUCAUGAAUCGGCUAAGCACUACGACGUUCCAGUCUGAUUAAUGGUUAUGGACCUAUUCGACACUCAGAGCAGUUAAGAAGCGAACAAUUGUUGAAGCAUGCGAUCGAACGUUGGAACAAAAAUAAAGAAUAUGAAUCACGCACGUAUUCUUGACGUCAAAUUCGUGAUGUAGACAGGAAGAUACAGAUCACACCAAGGUCAACCGAAUUUGGGUGAAGUUGUUGCAUGAAUGCAUCUUCGUCCACAUGAUGGAUCAUGGACCCAUUACAAGUGCGUAAACAACUUUACAAUGAGAUUUAACAUAUCCCAGCAACAGACUGGAAACAAUGUAGAAAUAAAAAUGCAACAAUGUUAAAUUCUAAAUGAAAAAAAAAACAUUAAAAUGCAAA